UACGAAGGGUGCAAGCGUUACUCGGAAUUACUGGGCGUAAAGCGUGCGUAGGUGGUUUGUUAAGUCUGUUGUGAAAGCCCCGGGCUCAACCUGGGAAUGGCAAUGGAUACUGGCAAGCUAGAGUGCGGUAGAGGGUAGUGGAAUUCCCGGUGUAGCGGUGAAAUGCGUAGAGAUCGGGAGGAACACCAGUGGCGAAGGCGGCCCGCUGGGCAGUGGCUGACGCUGAGGCGCGACAGCGUGGGGAGCAAACAGG
rnacentral:rRNA from 1 species